rnacentral:rRNA from 1 species
AAGUCGAACGGUAACAGGAAGCAGCUUGCUGCUUUGCUGACGAGUGGCGGACGGGUGAGUAAUGUCUGGGAAACUGCCUGAUGGAGGGGGAUAACUACUGGAAACGGUAGCUAAUACCGCAUAACGUCGCAAGACCAAAGAGGGGGACCUUCGGGCCUCUUGCCAUCGGAUGUGCCCAGAUGGGAUUAGCUAGUAGGUGGGGUAAAGGCUCACCUAGGCGACGAUCCCUAGCUGGUCUGAGAGGAUGACCAGCCACACUGGAACUGAGACACGGUCCAGACUCCUACGGGAGGCAGCAGUGGGGAAUAUUGCACAAUGGGCGCAAGCCUGAUGCAGCCAUGCCGCGUGUAUGAAGAAGGCCUUCGGGUUGUAAAGUACUUUCAGCGGGGAGGAAGGGAGUAAAGUUAAUACCUUUGCUCAUUGACGUUACCCGCAGAAGAAGCACCGGCUAACUCCGUGCCAGCAGCCGCGGUAAUACGGAGGGUGCAAGCGUUAAUCGGAAUUACUGGGCGUAAAGCGCACGCAGGCGGUUUGUUAAGUCAGAUGUGAAAUCCCCGGGCUCAACCUGGGAACUGCAUCUGAUACUGGCAAGCUUGAGUCUCGUAGAGGGGGGUAGAAUUCCAGGUGUAGCGGUGAAAUGCGUAGAGAUCUGGAGGAAUACCGGUGGCGAAGGCGGCCCCCUGGACGAAGACUGACGCUCAGGUGCGAAAGCGUGGGGAGCAAACAGGAUUAGAUAG